CCUUAAACUUUUCCUCUUCAAUUGUUUUUAAUUUCCGUUUUUCUUUAAAUGCCUUCACUUCUUAAGUGAGCGGAAGGAGCUAAGGGCUGAAAGAAAAGGCCCAGUGAGAAGGAAAUCACUUCUGGCUUUUCAGACCUUUUCACUUGUCCCUUUCUCCACCGUUGGCCCAAGAUUCACACCCGGCAACUGAGUUUUAGACCUCUUCCUUCAUUCAGGGCCUAGACCAGAGUCUGCACUUAGCCUUCAGUAUAAAUAGUUGGAUAAAGGAUAGCUUCCUUGGGCGGAAUGCCCUCAGAUCAGCUCACUUUGAGGGUGUAGUUUUUUUUUUUUUUCUACUCAGCUGAAAGGCAGAUAAACACAUAUGUUUUACAUUGGUGUUAUUUAUAUAGCUAUGCCCCCAAAGGGGGGGGGUAAAGUUGUUGGAAAUAUUUUUCUUGGUCUUGUUCAUAUACAUAUAUGCUGUGAAUUUUAGGAUGUUGAAGUUACUCUUAAGGCGUUUCCUUUACAUUUUGAUGUCUUUAAAAAACGAUUUUACUUCUUUCAUAAGAGGUGAAGACCUUGCAAAAUGAAGCUAAUCUCUUUUAGAAACUAAGAGAUUUCUUACCUCCUGCUGCUUUAUUACAAUUGAACACUUUUUCAACCGAGUCACUUUCUUUGUUGUGUUUCGAAUGGUUUGAUGAUUCUUAUUCUUUAUCAUAACUUUUAUUUUUUUGAAUGCCGUAACCAUUUUUUUAUAUAACCAGGCAAGCAAUUUUAGGUUUGGAAAUGUGUAAGACUAAAUUCAGUCAGUUGGUACAUACAUAUUAAAUACAUAUUCUACUGAGCACCAGUUGUGUAAUCCACGGACUAUUCCCUAGAGCGUUUUAAGUCCUACUCUCAUUGAUUGUAAAAUAGUGAAAUUAUAUAACCAAUGAGCUAAUAAGCAUGAAACUAAUUUGAAAGGUUAUAAUUGCUAAUCAAAUGUAAAGCAUAUUUAUUAGCAUCAUUAUUAAAAGGUGCCAGAGGAUACAGAUAAAACCUGUUCCUAUCCUCUGGGAACUUACAAUCUAGUUGGGCAUAAAUAAUGAAAUGUAAAUUGAUAGAAAGAGCUCCUAAGCAGUGUUCAGUGUCUGGCGUAUUGAAGACAGAAAAUGAUUGCCUCACAUUAAUUUGUAGCCCUGACAUUCUUUUAACAGAAAUAUAAUACUGUAAGUAAUGGAAGGAUUAAUUAGGAAAAAAUUUCAUGGAAAAAAUGAAUUUGUCCUUCUUAAGUCAUGUGUGAAGAUUGGGGGCAUAUAAGCUGUUUGCUUGUGAGGGAUAAAAUGGUAUUAAGUGUGGGAUAGGAAAAACGCGAGGUGAAAGUGUAAACAACCUUACAAGAUCAUUAUUAUUGAUACAUUUCUAUAAAAUUUUGUUAAUUAGAUGUAUGCAUGGGGCAUGGGCAUGUGAAUGAAGGGAUAUGAGGAAGCCAGAGAAAUCAGAGCUCUCUGGAGAUGGAGUUACAGGCAGCUGUGAGCCACCGACAACACGGUGCUGAGAACCAAACAGGCUUCUCUGGAAGAGCAGCUUUGGCUCUUGACUUCUGGGCCAUCUCUUCCAUCCCCUGACACUUACUUCUACAUGAUUCUAUCUAAACUCUGAAUGUAAAGAAAAUUGAAGAGGAUUAAGAAAAGAUUCAGAUAUUUUGGAUUUAUCAGCAGAAAAAUUUGAUUAUAGCAACUACAGGGGAUGGCAUGCCAUUAGCACCCGGGCUAAAGACUUUCAAAGACGAUCUGGGACAUUAUCAUCGCUUGUAAUCAAAAAGAAAAUAUUGCCCGUGAUAUUCUAUUUCUAAAAUUUAAUGGACCAUUUGAAUUGUCUACCCGUACAUUAGUAAAGCGUGAACUUUCAAGCAUGGAACUUUCAGGGCUGCUGAGAACUGUCUGGAACUCUCGAGUCCCUUUUUCUAAAAGUUAUUUUUGUAAAUUGCUGUAACAGUGGCUCAUCAGUCACUCUGAAAGGAAGUGAUCCUUGAUUAACAGUUGGCUGACACCAAGCUCCACAGAUGUGUAGCAACAGUACAGGUGCGACUUACAAAACAAGACAGAGCUUUACUCCUCCUUGGUACAAGGAAGGCUGGCAUGAUCAUCCACUUCACAUUAGAGGGUGUCUUAUCCACCAGUGUGCUGACACCAAGCAGGAAUUUCCAAGUAGAGAGCAGACUCCCUGUAGUCACAUGUCCCUGGUGAAAAUUGCUUCAUCAUUCUUCAGAAGGAAAAAAAUAAAAAGAAGAAGCAGAUUCUCUUCAGAAUCCUCUAUUCUCAGAAUGACUAGACAGAACUUUAUGCCAAAAUUCUUGCUCAUCUUCCUAUCUUCUAGUUCCAUAAAUAAAAAUAAAAUGUUAAUAAAUGGA
rnacentral:sRNA from 1 species